rnacentral:rRNA from 1 species
GACGAACGCUGGCGGCGUGCUUAACACAUGCGAGUCGAACGGAAAGGCCUGCUUUCCCUUGUGGAUUGCGGGUACUCGAGUGGCGAACGGGUGAGUAACACGUGAGUGAUCUGCCCCCAACUUGGGUAUAAGCCUGGGAAACUGGGUCUAAUUCCCGAUAGGACUGCAGGGUGGUGCCUGUGGUGGAAAACGAUUUUCUAGUGGUUGGGGAUGAGCUCGCGGCCUAUCAGCUUGGUGGUGGGGUAAUGGCCUACCAAGGCGGCGACGGGUAGCCGGCCUGCGAGGGGGGACAGCCACAGUGAGACUGGGAUACGGCCCAGACUCCUACGGGAGGCAGCAGUGGGGAAUAGUGCACAAUGGGCGGAAGCCUGAUGCAGCGACGCCGCGUGGGGGAUGACGGCCUUCGGGUUGUAAACUCCUUUCGACCGCGAGGAAGCCACCUGGUUGGAAGGGUGGUGACGGUAGUGGUAGAAGAAGCACCGGCUAACUACGUG